CAGCAGCCACGGUAAUACGGAGGGUGCAAGCGUUAUCCGGAUUUAUUGGGUUUAAAGGGUCCGUAGGCGGAUCUGUAAGUCAGUGGUGAAAUCUCACAGCUUAACUGUGAAACUGCCAUUGAUACUGCAGGUCUUGAGUAAAUUUGAAGUGGCUGGAAUAAGUAGUGUAGCGGUGAAAUGCAUAGAUAUUACUUAGAACACCAAUUGCGAAGGCAGGUCACUAAGAUUUAACUGACGCUGAUGGACGAAAGCGUGGGGAGCGAACAGGAUUAGAGACCCCCGUAGUCCCUGUCUCUUAUAC
rnacentral:rRNA from 1 species